UCUGCUUAACCCUCCUGUGCCGGGCUCACGAACAGGACGCAGCCAGCUUCUUGGAACCUUGGGCAUGGUGGAACCUUGGGCACAGACUGCUAGAAAACGGAACUGACCAGGAGAUGCCUGCCACACACGGCCUUUGUCUUUCUGAGAGAACUGAUGGGAGGCCGCACAAGCUACUCAGGAAGCUGAGGAUGGAACCCGGGACCUUUCCCUUCGUGGGCUGGGCAAGUGCCUUCCUCAGCUUCUGGGAUUUUCUCCAGACAGUGAAGCCCCAGGUGAAGAGAGAACUCGCUGGGGCUCCCUGAGAUUUAUGGUGCGUCUGUGAUGAAAGGCUACCCCGGCCGGGCACCUCACCUGUGUGGGUGUUCACAUGGUUCCUAAGAAGAGUGACAGUCCGGAAGGCCUUCAGGCACAGGUGACACAGGUGUGGCCUCUCAUUGCUGUGAAUUUUGAUGUGACGAUUGAAAGUUGAGAGCUUGGAGGAAGUGAACGGGCAGGUGUCACACUGAAAGCUCUGAGGCUUUCCUGUAGAGAGAAGACACACACCAGUGUAGCUGGAAAGAUCGUCCCUUGAGCAGCCCCUCAGAGGCCGACGUGACUUCCUUAGCUUAGUGCUGUUGAGGAUUAUGAGAUGUCUCAAAACCUCGGGACACUCUGUUUUUGAUGAAGAACACCUUGUUAAGAAGUACCCAGCUUCUGUUUCCUGCCACAGAACUGUCCAGGUCCCUAACCCACCCUCUCUGUUGUUAACAAUAGACAACAGUGCCCUCCCACCCCCCACAACACCGGGAACUGCAGUUCCAGGGGGGUCUGAUGCCCUCUUCUGGCCACUAUGGGAACUGCACACAGGUUGUGCACAGAAAUACAUACAUUCUUUUGUUUGUUUGUUUGUUUUUGUUUUUCCAGACAGGCAAAGCUACAGAGAGAAAUUCUGUCUUGAAAAUCAAGAAACAAACAAACAAACCAAUCAGUCUUAAUAAACUGUCAUUUACAGUGUGGUAUAGAUCAAGGAAGUCAGAAGACAAAGUCUUCUCCAAGCAGGGAGUCCCAGAAGCAAGUCUCCCAUAAACAUGGACCCAAGUGGGUACCCAAGUUCUCUGUUGUUGUUAAAAUGAAGACCCCCCAGCCCCCAAUGCCUUCCCAGAAUCCUCCACCCAAGCCAGGGGAGCUCUGGGAAACUGGCAUGAAGCUGAACAAAGCCACAGCCCACAGCCACAAGUGACUAUUUAAAUUUGUAUCAGACAGAGAGGGAGAGACGGAGUCCUGAGGGGGCGCUGGAGUCCUGCGGAGAAGAUGACGGACAGAGGGGGCGCUGGAGUCCUGCGGAGGAGAUGAUGGACAGGAGUGGUCCUGAAGGGGGAACUGGAGGCAUGGCAGUGGAUGAUGGACAGGAAGGUGGAGGAGAGGUCCAGAGGGGCGCUGAAGUAACUUAAGGACGACGAAGUGGAGAGGAACCGACCUGGAGACUCUGGGAGGACCGGCAAGGGCAGUGAAACCUUCCAGAGCUUUUGACGUUGUCCAGCAGCGAGCUGUGCAUUCACGCUCUAGGCGGUUGAAGCGACCCUGUGAUGUGCUUCAAGGACCUUUAUCAUUGGAAAGUGGGUACCCAAGAGGCUUUGAUGAGGAACUUUAUUGGGAAGGCCUCCAUGUUAUCCUGUUUGACAGUUCGAGAGCUAGCUUGUCGAUGAAGAAAGCCUUUGCUACAUUCAGUCUGUAGACCCUGAUUGGCAAGCAGCCUUGAGAGGGGUUUUCCUAUACCUGGCAGACAGUUCCAGUAUUGGGGCGCUGAAGGCCCCAGAACAAGAAGAGCUGGAGGAAGCUGGGUGGUGACACUUGGAAUCACUUUAGUCAUUCAUUAAAUUGUUGCUGUUCUCAAGUUCGAGCUCCCACAAGAACUAUUCUAUCAUAAUUCCCUAACACAGCUGAUUGUAGCUGUCCUUCUCCAAUACUCGAAGAUAGACAUUGGUAUGUAGGUGAGUACAGACACACAUGCACACUCACACAAACACACACCCACACAAACAUACACACAUACUCUCACAUACCCCCCCACAGUCACACACAUACACACAUACUCUCACAUACCCACACUCACACACACAGUUCACACACACAUAAAUACACACUCACACACACAUUCACACAUUCAUAUUCACACACACACACACACACAAGGGUGGGGAGAAGAGAACUUUCUGGAUAACCGCAUCUCUCUUUUGUGAACCAACCUCUAAAUCUCCUUUUAAGGACCCUCCCAUGUCCGUCUGGACCCUGAGGGUGCUGCAUACCCACCCCUGCCUCCUUCCCAUCCCCAGAGCCCGUGGGAGGGUGGAGAAGACACAGGCCUGGCUCCUGCGUGCUGGUCAUGGCCCUUAGGAAAGGCCUUGGGUUUGGCAGGAGAACACUGGAGGAACGAAAGCCAGGUGUAGAGACUUCUUUGGGAAGAAGAGGUGGCUCAGUGGUUAGGGGUAUGCACUUUCCUCCCAUAGAUCCUAGUGUUUGGUUCAGGGUGGAAGCUGAGAAAACUCACGUCAGAUAUGAAAGCUUAAAAAUGAAAGCUUUAUUUUCUGACCGCUCAGGAUGGAGGCCAGUUCGGGCUCUGAACCACAUCCCCAGAGAGAGAGUGUAUAACAUCUCUAAGGAAUGAGAACACAAAGCAAGCUGUGGGGAGCUGCAGUGUUAUCCGGUUGUAUUUUGACAUUGUGGGUUAAGCAAGGGAAAACCUGUUGGAGACUGGGCUGUGCCCAGGGCACCUGGCUUCAGGGUACUUAAUUCAUUCUCCUAGACAUUAGUUCCGGAGCUCCGAGUGAGAAGGGGGCAAAGGAGCGGGUCAGCCGCAUGUAGCUAAUUAGAGCAUAACAGGCAAUGAUUGUAUAUUUUUUUUACAACAUAUGCACCUUGGUUUAGAUAAUAGCAGUUUCUAUAUUCUUAACCAGUUAACAGACAAGUAAGAAGACACUCGGAGAAGCGAGGUAGGUGUUCGUUCCUAGGCCUGGGAACGUGAAAGUGUUUGAUCCUGCUGGCAAGAUGGAGAAGUUGUCCCUGAGAUGCCCGGACUCAGACAACUGUUUACAGCAGGAGCUGUUCAGCUGUAGGGGGGUCCCCAGGUCCCCUAGAGCCUGGGACCUUGGGUGUCAUUUCUCCCUGUGGUUAGAUGGAGACUUAGUACUUAUGGUGGUAUUUAGAAUUCUUUUGCUUGUUCCCAGCGCUAGGGUAAGUAUUGGAUCCUCAUAACCUGUACCUAACUCCCGCACCAGGGGACCCAAUGUCCUCUUCUGGACUCUGAGCACCUGUACUCAUGUGUGUACACUCCCACACAGACACUCUUAAAAAAAAAAAACUUGGAGGGAAACUUUGCUGCCAGCCUAGGUGGCGCAGUGAGUUCAAAGCCCGCUGGCCUUCAUUGUUGGACACGGCCAAGGCUGGUGUGAAGGAAACCAUUCUUUGCAUGUUGACUUGUGAGAAGGCCAGAGGUCAAACCCCCUUUCCCAUGGUGUGUCCUUUUGUGCUGGUUCCCACCUGUAACCCAGCGCUGUCCUGAAGCUUGUGGGUCUUGUUCUUCCUCUUGCCACUGCAGUCCUCUGACCCUUUUCCUUGUCAGAGAUGUCACUCGUGGGCUCAUUUCUGGAUCCGACGUUCCCUCAGGAAGGACACCUGAUCGCCCAUGCCUUCCCAAGCAGGACCCUACCAUAUCUGUGCUGUGAGCUUCUUUGUCCUAACCCCCAAGCUCCCAGCUUUAAAAGGUGUCUGACUGACCUUCAUCGGUGGAAUCAAGAAGUUCAAAUGCCAAGGAUGCCAGACAGCAUGCCGCAACCACGGAGCAACACACUUGAAGUCUAGCUUCCUAACGCAAGUCUUCCCGCAACUAGCUGGAACACUUUAUGACACUGCCUGUUCCAGAAGUUCUGUGGGGCAGACAUGAAGGUAGAGGACUCUGGCCUCCAUUGCUGAUGUACUCCCACAUACCUUUGAUAUUCUCUAGAACCUCCUAUCAGGUCUGCUUUCUCCUGAGGAACAUACUCUGGCUUCUUGCCAGCAAUCUGUCUCGAUGCUAUGGACUAAACUGCCCGCUAGCAAUUAGUCUGGACUUUAGUUGUUUUUGAAAGAUGAAUUGAGAUGUAAUUUUCUAAUUAACAGUGGUUGUCAAAUAAAGGGGGACAAAGUCUCUGUCUGGGCCUCGACAAGGCCACGGCCACGGCGUGGCAGGCUGGAGCCUCUCGAGGACAAAUGCGAGGAACCAGUGGCUCAGGAAGCAAUUAGCUUGUGGCUUCUGUUGCUGAUGGGGGAACCAUGCAGAGCAGAGAGGGCCUGCUGGGGAGUGGAGCUCAGAUGGGGCUAGCUAUGGUGGUUGAGCUAGCAGAACGGAUGCAGGGACACGCUCCAAGGACCCCCCGUCCACCUCCCCCGUGCACGCUCACACUGCCAUCGUACUGUGUGAUGGAACACUUCUGGGUUUGCAUUGUUGGUGCCUGGGUUAAAGAUGUAAUAGCUACCAAUGUCUGUUCUAGAUAAUAACCCUUGAAGGCACGGGGAUGGGAGGUAUUUGUCAUGGGGCUUACAGGCACAGGGGGACGUGUUUUCAGAAUGGUUACUCCCCGCAAAGCUGUCUUAUCUCAAGCCUGGUGAUAUUUCUAAGGCGUCAUUUGUAUUAUUGUUUGUGUGACUCCUGGCUCCUUUUCCCUCUCCCUGCACGGGUGACUGAACCUAGCUGCUCACAUAAGACAGACAAGCCUUUCCCACCAAGCUGCUUCCUAACUCUCUUUUAACUUUUGUUUUGAAAUAGGAGGUCACCGGCCGUGAACUCAUGGCUCCUCUGCCUCAGCUUCCCAGGUAGCCUGGGUGACAGGCCUGUGCCACCGGGCCUGGCUAUGACUCUGCUUCCGCUUUCUCAAUGGUCCCCUUUGCUCAUGUGUUGAUGACACAGGGCAACCAAUGUCACAGAGGACCUGGGGGAGGGGGACGUCUCAGUUUUGACUCUUGGCUCAGGGUCUGGCUGGCACCUCGGGCCUCCAGAUGUCUGCUUCUUUCAGAUCUCUGUAGGGACCUGACCAGACACAGAGGGCACGGGGGCAUCCAGAAAGGGCCAGUUUCUUACUUGACAUGAUAAUUUGACUCUUUUCUGGGGAGAUAUGAACAUUUAAAUAUACCUUCACUCCAGAUAGAGGAUCUAGAUAAGUCAAAGAAAAGAUUCCAUUCAUGUCCAGCUCACUGAGCCAAUGAGUUAAUCAGGGUGACUUAUGGAAUGUGGGUGAGGGGUGAUUUAUGGAAUUAUUGAUACCUCAAAGACACUCGUGUAAGCCGCAAGCCUGGAGCUCUCUGACAGGGGAGCUUUUCUCCACUGCAGUCUUUACUCUUAUAUAAUUCUGGGAAGGGAGGGGCCUUGUGGACCUUGUAAGUUUCUGGGCUGUCUUGAGACUUGUGAGUUGUUUACUGCAGGUUCUUAAAGGUCCCCCCUCCAGGAUGGAAAUCUUUCAACUUGGAGAAUAUUGCUACAUAUCAGCAUCCAGCCCUCUCUUCAGCCCUGUCUCUAGUAUUUUCUCUUCCUUUGUAUAUUUGACAUUUGUGUGUAUGUGUGUGUGUGAUGCUUCUGUGAACAUGAGUGCAUACAUACAUGUGUACACCUACAGGGCAAGAGCUAUGGCACACAUGUAAAGGCUUGGAGAGUUGGUUCCCUCCUUCCACCACAUGGGUUCUUGGGAUGGAACUAGGUUAUCAGGCUUGAUCUCAAGUGCCUUUACCUGAUGGGCCAUCUCACUGACUCCUAGUGUCUCUCUUAAGAGUGCCACAGAGCGGAAGACAGUCUUCUGGUCAUGUGUGAUCUAUAGCAGGGUACUGCUUGGACAUACUGUGAUACAACGUCUAAUGGAGUCAGAACCUUGGCGGGCAGGGGACAACUUGAUCCGAAGCUCAGAGGCACCUCUCAGAGUUUGCCCAAGAGCGUUUGAAGGACAGCUCUUUCCUGCACGUGUAUGUCUAGACUCAGGGUUUCGCUCCAGCAGCUCGGUGGCUAUAUCUGUCUGUGUUAUUGUCCAAUUUGAAAUGUUGAGUUCUUCACCAACAGAGUUCAGUGGCCUGGAAAGCUUUUCAUCACGACAGACUGUUCGUUUCAUUUCCUUAUCAUUUGGACUGACGUCUGAGAAGGCUUAGCUGGCUGUAUAAGAAGGUUAAGUGACUUUCCCAAUAAAAAACAAGGGCAGGGGGGUUUGAUUACUUUUAAAGCCGAUAAGAACAGGGCUAGCAAAACUGUCCCAGGAGAUGGGAAGUUGACAGGAUAGGACAGUUCGGAACUCUCUCUUCAGGGUCAGUAUUGAUCAUGCCCUGCACGAUCCUCACUGAGAAUUUGCAGCUCUAAUCCAGGCCCCAUUUGAUGCACUUGAAAACAUCCCGUGCUUUUUUUUAAAGCACUUUCAGCGGGCACCAGAAAUCUUGUUGACAACAUUAAUUUGCUUAGCAAAGCCUUUCUUGAAGCUCUGAAAGGAUAAACUUUAACCUGCCCUCUAUCAGGCUGACUAUACAUUAGAGGCCUCCAGAGUUGAUGGGGUUUGCUGGACGUACAUCCACCAGGUCUUGUUAAUAGAGACACAGGCACAACUGGAUAGCAGGCUGUCGGUAAGGGGCACAGACACAAGGAGCCCCAGAACCCACCAGAAAACCAGGGAAUGUCAGGAUGCACCUAAGAUCCUAGCAAGGAGGAGGUAGGCGCAGGAGAAUCUCUGAGGCCCACUGGCCAGCCAGCCUGGCUAUACUGGCAAGCUGAGGGUUCAGUGAGAGUCAAAAAAAAAAUAAUAACUGAAAAAGGUCAAGGGUGACUGAGGAAGAUACUUAAGCUAACUUCUGGACUCCACAUGCACUCACACAGAUGUAUACACAGACAGACGAAUGGGAAAACACUGUAAAAGCCGUAAGCUGCUGACAAGAGGGGCGGUCGAAUGUGACAUGUUUAUGUUUGUUGGUUCUUUCUUUCUUUCUCUUCAAGACAAGGUUUCUCUUAUUAGUCCUAGAUGAUUUGCUCUGUAGACCAGGCUGUCCUCAAAUUCAGAGAUCUUCCUGCCUCUGCCUCCCCAGUGCUGGGACCACCCAGCUAAGGCACAUUGGGUUUUAAAUUUUUAUUUAUUAUUUAUUGUGUAGCGUGUGUGUGUGCGCACACGUGCGCAUGUGUACACACACACAAGUGUGUGUGCACAACACACAUACGUACCAUGCCUUAUGUGUGGAAGUCAAAGGAUAACUUCUUGGAAUCUAUUCCCUCCGUCCACUCCGUGGAUCUUAAGCUGAAACUCUUGGCUGGGUAGCAAAGACCCUUUUCCACAGGGCCAUUUCUCUGGCCAGACAUCUGAUUUUAAUUGCCUUGUUUGCCUGUGGGCUUUCUACUGACCAACCAAUGAUUUUUAAAGGAAUUUUUGGUCAUUGUCACCUACAUGAGCUCGUGCAGAUGAGGCAGUGACAGAUCUGUACCUGGUUUUGCUUCUGACAAGAAGGGUCCAUUUCUCGGAUGCUUGGCUCCAUUUUUCUUGAGUAAUCCUCCAUUUUCUCACCUAUCAGAACUGUGGAGACUGAAUUUUGGGAGCUUGAGGGAACCAAAGAAAAACUGUAGAUAUACUUCAUGUGGAAACUGAACUGCAGGCUCUCUCCUAUCUGAGCGUGAAGUGAUGGAUCGGUUAAUCAGAAAUCUGAAGGCUCGAGACGGGGUGCAGGAAAGGAGACAUCGAGAAAAUUGGAAAUGUCGUCAGGACAUUUGGCAUGAUAGGUUGCCACUGAGAUAGUGUCAGGGUUUAGGCAGGACAUCAGCUUCUAAGGAAGAUGGAUUGCUCAACAAAGUUUGAUUUUGACUGAGUCCAUUGCAGGGCUUUUACUCAGGCAAGAGAGAUUAGGGCAAACAUGAACUGGCAGCAGCUACCAGCUGAGUGGUAUCCACCAAGCAAUGUUAAAAGGGAAGGGCAGGCAAGACUAUUAUACCAACACCCAAAUGGAGACAACCCAAGUGCUUAUUAACUAACGAGCAGGAAAGGCUCAGUGUAGCCUCAUGGUGGAAUAUCUUUCAGCCGUGAAAAACUCGUGAGAUGUGUUGCAGUGUAAAUGAACCGAAUGGGAAGAUGCCAGUCACAAAAGCCCACAGAGCAAUCGUAUGAUUCCACAUAAGUGAACCCUCAUAAAGGGCAAGUGUAUGAGCGUGGAGAGGGCUGGUGCUUGCCGAGGGCCUGCAGGGGGUACUGAUGUGUGUGGAGGGGAGUGUGCUGUUAGGGGAGAGAUGGUGAGGUGUGCUGAAGGGGCCAGGGAGGUGUCUGCACACGUCUGUGACUGCAGUAGAAGUCGCUGAACUGGACAUCUUAGGUGAAGUCAAGCAACCAUCAAUGGGAUCUGAAGAGAGAAGCCGCGACCAGUAGGGGAGACAGAAUUGAAGAGGGUGCUGGCAAGAGGUUCUCUGAUCACAAGCUGGGAAACUGAAUGUCUAUAUAUGUGUGUGUGUAUGUAUUAUAUUAUGCUUGUGUUUGUAUGUGGGUAUCUGCAUCUGCACAUGGUAUGCCUUAAGAAGAGGGCAUGAGGUUCUCCUGGAGCUGGAGCCGGAGCUGCAGACAAUUGUGUUUCCCGAUGUGGGUGCUGGGAACUCAGCUCCUCUGCAAGAGCAGUAUGUGCCCUUACCCCCUUGAGCCAUCUCUUCAACCCCAGGCAAAGCACCCUUAACUCCUGAGUUCUCAUUCCUAAGGCUCUGCCCAGGGACUGUGGCUACCGGGUGUCCCGGUCUUAUUUGAGUACUUCAUAUUUGUUCUUAUGACUAGUUGAUUGGUGGGGAGUGUGACCAUGAGGGUAGCUAACUGGCCUGACCUUGCCUGUCUCAGUCACCAUGUGUGUGCGCUGCAAAGCCUUUCUUUGAUCUGCAUUCUUCUCUGAACUUCAGACUAAUCAGGAUCUUCAGAGAUAGCCCCACGCCAGCUACGACAGAGAGAACUUCAUACUUAACUUUCAGAUAUUUUCGACACGGCACACCUAGGCCAGUGAGAUGACUCAGACUGUAAAGGCUCCGCUGCCAAUCCUCAAGACCCAAGUUCAAUCCCCGGGACCCAUGCCCUCCCAUGUGGAGAGAGAGGGAGAGUGCUAUAAUUUGUUCUUUGACCUCCACGCAUACUCAUCCCUCUCUCCAGUAAAUAAAUUAAAAUAAUUUUAAAAUAAAAAAAAAUGUAGAAGUUGCCUCUGACUUCUCUUAGGAUUGUUAACUUAAAAAUGCCCAGGAGCUCCAUGCCUGGUUGUCCCG
rnacentral:lncRNA from 1 species